GCGAGAACAUCUUCCCGCUUAUGACCUGCGCUACUCACGUGCUACAAUGCACACAACAAAGGGCAGGGAUACCGCGAGGUUACGUCAAUCACACAAAUCAUGUCAGUUCGGAUAGCACUCUGCAGCUACACUGGAAGCUGGAGUCGCUAGUAAUCGAGUCUCAGCGCGCCGGGGUGAAUACGUUCACGGGCGUUGUACACACCGCCCGUCACACCACGACAG
rnacentral:rRNA from 1 species